GACGAACGCUGGCGGCAUGCUUAACACAUGCAAGUCGAACGGAAAGGCCCGGCUUUGUGGGGGUGCGCGAGGGGCGAACGGGGGAGUAACACUUGAGUAACCUGCCCUUGACUUUGGGAUAACUUCAGGCAACUUGGGCUAAUACCGGGUAGGAUCUCCUGCUGUAUGGUGGGGGUUGGAAAGUUUCGGCGGUUGGGUAUGGACUCGCGGCUUAUCAGCUUGUUGGUGGGGUUGUGGCUUACCAAGGCUUUGACGGGUAGCCGGCCUGAGAGGGUGACCGGCCACAUUGGGACUGAGAUAAGGCACAGACUAAUACGGGAGGCAGCAGUGGGGAAUAUUGCACAAUGGGCGGAAGCCUGAUGCAGCAACGCCGCGUGCGGGAUGACGGCCUUCGGGUUGUAAACCGCUUUCGCCUGUGACGAAGCGUGAGUGACGGUAAUGGGUAAAGAAGCACCGGCUAACUACGUG
rnacentral:rRNA from 1 species